UACGUAGGUGGCAAGCGUUGUCCGGAAUUAUUGGGCGUAAAGCGCGCGCAGGCGGUCCUUUAAGUCUGAUGUGAAAGCCCACGGCUCAACCGUGGAGGGUCAUUGGAAACUGCCUCGCUAGAGUCCGGAAGAGGAGAGCGGAAUUCCUGGUGUAGCGGUGGAAUGCGCAGAUAUCAGGAAGAACACCCGUGGCGAAGGCGGCUCUCUGGGACGGUACUGACGCUGAGACGCGAAAGCGUGGGGAGCGAACAGG
rnacentral:rRNA from 1 species